rnacentral:rRNA from 1 species
UACGAAGGGGCUAGCGUUGUUCGGAAUCACUGGGCGUAAAGCGCACGUAGGCGGAUCUUUAAGUCAGGGUGAAAUCCCGAGGCUACAACCUCGGACUGCCUUUGAUACUGGGGAUCUCGAGUCCGGGAGAGGUGAGUGGAACUGCGAGUGUAGAGGUGAAAUUCGUAGAUAUUCGCAAGAACACCAGUGGCGAAGGCGGCUCACUGGCCCGGAACUGACGCUGAGGUGCGAAAGCGUGGGGAGCAAACAGG